rnacentral:rRNA from 1 species
AGAGUUUGAUCCUGGCUCAGAAUGAACGCUGGCGGCGUGCUUAACACAUGCAAGUCGAGCGAGAAAGCUCCUUCGGGAGUGAGUACAGCGGCGAACGGGUGAGUAAAGCGUAAGAAUCUACCUUUCAAUGAAGAAUACUCUUGAGAAAUCGAGGUUAAUGCUGCAUACGUCCCUUCGGGGAGAAAGAUGGCCUCUUUGCUGUCGUUGAAAGAUGAGCUUACGUGCUAUUAGCUUGUUGGUGAGGUAAAGGCUCACCAAGGCUUUGAUGGCUAGCCGGCCUGAGAGGGUGUACGGCCACACUGGAACUUAGACACGGUCCAGACUCCUACGGGAGGCAGCAGUGAGGAAUAUUGCGCAAUGGGCGAAAGCCUGACGCAGCGACGCCGCGUGGAGGAUGAAGGUUUUAGGAUCGUAAACUCCUGUUAAGUGGGAAGAAAAACUUAACUCUAAUACAGUUAAGGUAUGACGGUACCAUUAAAGAAAGCACCGGCUAACUUCGUGCCAGCAGCCGCGGUAAUACGAGGGGUGCAAGCGUUAUUCGGAAUCAUUGGGCGUAAAGGGUGUGUAGACGGCAUGUUAAGUUAUCUGUUAAAUUCUUCGGCCUAACCGAAGCUCAGCAGAUAAAACUGAUAUGCUAGAGGAUGGAAGAGAAAAGUGGAAUUCUCGGAGUAGCGGUAAAAUGCGUAGAUCUCGAGAGGAACACCAAUGGCGUAAGCAGCUUUUUGGUCCAUUCCUGACGUUGAAACACGAAAGCGUGGGGAGCAAACAGGAUUAGAUACCCUGGUAGUCCACGCCGUAAACGAUGAUCACUAGACGUUAGUUUCGUUUUUUCGAAAUUAGUGUCGUAGCUAACGCGUUAAGUGAUCCGCCUGGGGAGUACGGUCGCAAGACUAAAACUCAAAGGAAUUGACGGGGGCCCGCACAAGCGGUGGAACAUGUGGUUUAAUUCGAUACUACGCGAGGAACCUUACCUAGACUUGACAUGCUUUUGACAGCUGUAGAAAUACAGUCUUUUAAACUUUGUUUAAACAAUUGCACAGGUGCUGCAUGGCUGUCGUCAGCUCGUGUCGUGAGAUGUCGGGUUAAGUCCUUUAACGAGCGCAACCCCUGUCGUUAGUUGCUAUCUGUUUACAGAGCACUCUAGCGAGACUGCCUGGGAAACCAGGAGGAAGGAGGGGACGACGUCAAGUCAUCAUGGUCCUUAUGUCUAGGGCUACACACGUGUUACAAUGGUUAGUACAAAGGGUUGCAAUUCCGUAAGGAGGAGCCAAUCUCAAAAAGCUAAUCUAAGUUCGGAUUGAGGUCUGAAACUCGACCUCAUGAAGUUGAAAUCGCUAGUAAUCGCGUAUCAGCAACGACGCGGUGAAUACGUUCUCGGGCCUUGUACACACCGCCCGUCACACCACGAAAGUUGUUUGUACCCGAAGUAGGUAGACCAACCUUCGGGAGGUCGCUUACCACGGUAUGGUUUAUGACUGGGGUGAAGUCGUAACAAGGUAACC